CACGUAGGGGGCGAGCGUUGUCCGGAUUUAUUGGGCGUAAAGGGCGCGUAGGCGGCCCGCUAAGUCGAACGUGAAAUCCCCGAGCUCAACUCGGGAACUGCGUCCGAUACUGGCGGGCUUGAAUCCGGGAGAGGGAUGCGGAAUUCCAGGUGUAGCGGUGAAAUGCGUAGAUAUCUGGAGGAACACCGGUGGCGAAGGCGGCAUCCUGGACCGGCAUUGACGCUGAGGCGCGAAAGCUAGGGGAGCAAACGGG
rnacentral:rRNA from 1 species